UUUCCGUAGGUGAACCUGCGGAAGGAUCAUUAUUGAAUGAACAUGGGCAAAGCUGUCGCUGGUCUCAGCAAUGGGGCAUGUGCACGCUUUGUUCAUCCACCUUCAUACCUCUGUGCACUUCUCAUGGGUUGGGUCGCGCUUGAAAAAUAGCAAAGCCCCUCUCAUGUGUUUUAACACACACUACAAGUUUUAGAAUGUCACAAUCAUGCAUCAAUGCAUAUAAUACAACUUUCAGCAACGGAUCUCUUGGCUCUCGCAUCGAUGAAGAACGCAGC
rnacentral:misc_RNA from 1 species